rnacentral:rRNA from 1 species
UACGUAGGGUGCGAGCGUUAAUCGGAUUUACUGGGCGUAAAGCGUGCGCAGGCGGCCCGUUAAGACAGGUGUGAAAUCCCCGGGCUCAACCUGGGAAUGGCAUUUUGAACUGGCAGGCUCGAGUUCUGAAGAGGGUGGUAGAAUUUCCAGUGUAGCGGUGAAAUGCGUAGAUAUCGGGAGGAAGGCCGGUGGUGAAGGCGGCCCCCUGGGCCUGUACUGACGCUCAUGCACGAAAGCGUGGGGAGCAAACAGG